AGAUUAGCAUAUCAUAAAACAGAUUAAUGUUCCAUUAAUUUGUACGAUCCUAAAAUGAUAUACGGAUUUGCUGCUUACACAACAUGACACUACUGACUCGGAAGAACAAAACAACACAGUAUUCAACAGAAAGGAAAAGGAAAACAACUACUUAGGGUAUCAAGAAACUCAAUAUGAACCGCAUAUAGAUGACGCAUAAUGCCUUAGUCCACUUCCUCCAUCUUGCUUUCCUCACCAACAUCCUCCAGAGGAGGCAUAUCAUCAACAUCCACACCAGCUUCCUCUUCUUCGUCAAUGCUCAAACCCAACUUCAGCAUUCUAUGAAUUCUUGCAGCAAAUGUAUUCGGGUCAUCAAGACUAAAACCAGAUGUUAGCAAAGCUGUCUCAAACAGCAGCAACACAAGAUCUUUCACCGACUUGUCAUUCUUGUCAACUUCAGCUCUCUUCCUCAACUCCUCCAUAAUGCCAUUAUCAGGGUUGAUUUCCAUUGUCUUCUUGCUAGACAUGUAAGAGCUCAUGCUAUUGUCCUUCAAAGCUUGAGCUUUCAUGAUCCUUUCCAUGUUAGCUGUCCAACCAUACUCACCUGUCACUAAGCAACAUGGAGAAUCAACAAUCCUAUCAGAGACUACAACCUUCUCAACUUUGUCUCCAAGAAUGUCCUUGAUGACCUUGCAAAGGCUCUCAAAGGAUUGUUUUUUCUCUUCCUUUUUCUUCUUUUCUUCUUCGCUCUCGUCAUCGAGCUUCAGUCCCUCCUUUGUAACAGAAACCAGUUUCUUACCAUCAUAUUCCUUCAGUUGCCCAAUAGCAUAUUCAUCAAUGGCAUCAACCAUGAAGAGUACUUCAUAUCCUUUCUUCUUUAGGCGUUCCAAGAAUGGUGAAUUUUCAACUGCCUUUUUGCUCUCUCCAGUGAUGUAGUAGAUGUCUUUCUGACCCUCCUUCAUCCUGGUUACAUAAUCUUUCAAACUUGUCAGCUCAUCACCACUCUUGGUUGACUGAUAUCGAAGGAGGUCAGCCAACUUAGCCCUGUUCUGGCUAUCUUCAUGAAUGCCCAGCUUCAAGUUCUUUGAGAAAGCCUCGUAGAACUUGUUGUAGUCCUCCUUGUUCUCUGCAAUCUCAUUGAACAUCUCAAUACAUUUCUUCACGAGGUUCUUCCUAAUGACCUUGAGAAUCUUGUUCUGCUGCAGCAUCUCACGAGAGAUGUUGAGAGGCAAAUCAUCGGAGUCCACAACACCUUUCACAAACCCAAGGUACUCAGGCAUAAGUUCCUCACAGUUAUCCAUAAUGAAUACCCUCCUGACAUAGAGCUUGAUGUUGUUCAUCUUUUUCCGGCUGUCAAAAAGAUCAAAUGGAGCUCUCUUGGGCACAAAGAGGAUCGCCUUGAACUCUAGCUGCCCCUCAACAGAGAAGUGUUUGACAGCAAGGUGAUCCUCCCAAUCAUUGGUCAAACUCUUGUAGAAGGAGGCAUAUUCCUCCUUUGUGAUCUCCUCCGGUUUGCGCAACCAGAUAGGUUUCUGCUUGUUAAUGAGCUGCCACUCAUGAGAAACCUCCUUGAUUUUCUUCUUCUUACCUUUCUCCUUCUCUUUAUCCUCAUCCACUUCCUCAAUAUCACCCUCUUGUUCUUUCUUGGGUUCAUCAUCUUCAUCAUCACUGAUUUCCUUCUCAGUUGUCUUCUCUGUCCAGAGAUAAAUUGGGUAGCUAAUGAAUUCAGAAUGCUUCUUCACAAGGUCUUUGAUUCUCCUUUCCUCCAAGUACUCCAACUGGUCUUCCUUGAGGAAGAGAGUGAUUUUAGUUCCUCUGCCCAAUUGCUCUCCAUCAACAUCCCUUGUGACAGUGAAUGAACCACCGGCUUGUGAUUCCCAGAUAUACUGCUCAUCAUCGUUGUGCUUGGUGGUUACAAUAACCUUCUCUGCUACGAGAUACGCAGAGUAGAAACCCACACCAAAUUGUCCAAUCAUGCUCACAUCAGCCCCAGCCUGUAGAGCUUCCAUGAACUCCUUUGUGCCGGACCUCGCAAUCGUACCCAGAUUGUUAACCAGAUCUGCUUUAGUCAUGCCAAUACCGCUGUCAAUAAUGGAGAGAGUUUUAUUCACCUUGUCAGGAACAAGGCGAAUAAAGAGUUCAGGCUGCGCAUCGAGUUUACUCUUGUCCGUCAAGCUCUCGAACCGGAUCUUAUCCAAUGCAUCAGAAGAAUUGCUAAUGAGUUCACGAAGGAAAAUCUCCUUGUUACUGUAGAAAGUAUUGAUGAUCAAACUCAACAACUGGUUAAUCUCAGCCUGAAAAGCAAAUGUCUCUGCCUCAGCCAUCUGCACAUCCGCCAUUGAUGCUCAAAGCUCAACAAAACCAAAAAAAAAAGAAGAAAGCCGAUAAAGUGAAAAUGAAUAAGAAGUUAAUGGUAAUUUGAGAAAGAAAACUUGUGAGUUGCGAUUUUUGAUGAGCUAAAGCAUGAGAG
rnacentral:misc_RNA from 1 species